AACGAACGCUGGCGGCAUGCCUAACACAUGCAAGUCGAACGAGACCUUCGUGUCUAGUUGCGCACGGGUGCGUAACGCGUGGGAAGCUGCCCUUAGGUUCGGAAUACCUCCCCGAAAGGGGUGCUAAUGCCGGAUAAUGUCUUCGGACAAACGAUUUAUCGCCUUUGGGUGGGCCCGCGUUGGUUUAGCUAGUUGGUAGUGUAAAAGCCGACCAAGGCGACGAUCCAUAGCUGGUCUGAGAGGAUGAUCAGCCACACUGGGACUGGGACCCGGACUAGAAUACUACGGAAGAGAGGCGUGGGGCAUAUUGGGCCAUGGGGCAAGGGCUAAUAAAGCCAUGCGGCGUGAGUGCGCAAGGGCUUAGGAUUGUAAAGAUCUCUUACACGGGACGCUAAUGACAGUACCGGGAAAAUAAGCUCCGGCUAACUCCGUG
rnacentral:rRNA from 1 species